GGGAAAGUUGAAAAGUACUUUGAAGAGAGAGUUAAACAGGGCGUGAAACCGCUAGCUGGUAAACGAGUGGAGCCACGAAGUCGUUUCGUAGAAUAAAGAAUACAAAUUCAGUUGAGGUUAUCGAAAGAUGGCUUUAAUGCACUUUUGUUUAUUCUUCUAUGUAAGCGUACACUGCAACCAAUUAGACAAUUAAUUGUGGAAACAAUUAGCUAACACAGGGAGAAAUCUUUGUAUUAGUUAAUGAAAUGCUUGUAUAUCUUCUAUAGGUUGCUCGAUUUGGUCCUUGUGGCUAUCUUGAGUGUAUGAUAGUUGAUAUGUGAACUACAAUUAAAUACUGAUUGGCUCAAUGAAAAUCCAUUUUCAAUGGUUCCUAGAUAAUACUGCUUAUAUUGUAUGCACGUACAAGUAUUUAUUACUAGCGUAAGCUUAGUAGUUUUAAAUUUAGACUAUCUGGCUAGUUUUGAUUUCGGUCAUUGCUGCUUGUAUAGCUUUCUAUCUAAUUGGCUAUUAACUUUGUUAGUAAUUUUGUACUUGUUAUGAUUGCAUGUAUGCGAUAAUAAGUAAGUUAUUUUAUUGGCAGUGAGUAGGUCGGCUUUCCACACGACCC
rnacentral:rRNA from 1 species